rnacentral:rRNA from 1 species
GACGAGGGGUCCUAGCGUUGUUCGGAAUCACUGGGCGUAAAGCGCACGUAGGCGGAUCUUUAAGUCAGAGGUGAAAUCCCAAGGCUCAACCUUGGAACUGCCUUUGAUACUGGGGAUCUUGAGUCCGGGAGAGGUGAGUGGAACUGCGAGUGUAGAGGUGAAAUUCGUAGAUAUUCGCAAGAACACCAGUGGCGAAGGCGGCUCACUGGCCCGGUACUGACGCUGAGGUGCGAAAGCGUGGGGAGCAAACAGG